rnacentral:rRNA from 1 species
AUUGAACGCUGGCGGCAGGCCUAACACAUGCAAGUCGAGCGGAGCGGCGGACGGGGGAGUAAUACUUAGGCAUCUGCCUGGUGGUGGGGGAUAACGUUCGGAAACGGACGCUAAUACCGCAUACUAUCAGAUUAGCCUAGGUCGGAUUAGCUAGUUGGUGAUGUAAUGGCUCACCAAGGCUACGAUCCGUAACUGGUCUGAGAGUAUGAUCAGUCACACUGUAACUGAGACACGGUCCAGACUCCUACGGAAGGCAGCAGUGGGGAAUAUUGGGCAAUGGGGGCAAGCCUGAUGCAGCCAUGCCGCGUGUGUGAAGAAGGUCUUCGGAUUGUAAAGUACUUUAAGUUGGGAGGCGUUACCGACAGAAUAAGCACCGGCUAACUCUGUGCCAGCAGCCGCGGUAAUAC